rnacentral:lncRNA from 1 species
GCCUCACACAGCUGGCCGAGGAACUCUAGAGUGGAGUCUAGAACCUCCCAACGCACAUCACACACACGCUUCUUUAGCACGGGAAGGAGGUCUGUUACAACACACACACACACGCUUCUUUAGCACGGGAAGGAGGUCUGUUACAACACACACACACACGCUUCUUUAGCACGGGAAGGAGGUCUGUUACAACACACACACACACACACACACACGCUUCUUUAGCACGGGAAGGAGGUCUGUUACAACACACACAGGAAAAAACAUCAGUAUAAAUAUCUGUUAAGCAACAUCUGACCAGAUAUAUUGAUGUUGACUCCCUGCACCUUCAGUGACCAGAUAUAUUGAUGUUGACUCCCUGUACCUUCAGUGACCAGAUAUAUUGAUGUUGACUCCCUGUACCUUCAGUGACCAGAUAUAUUGAUGUUGACUCCCUGUAUCUUCAGUGACCAGAUAUAUUGAUGUUGACUCCCUGUACCUUCAGUGACCAGAUAUAUUGAUGUUGACUCCCUGCACCUUCAGUGACCAGAUAUAUUGAUGUUGACUCCCUGCACCUUCAGUGACCAGAUAUAUUGAUGUUGACUCCCUGUACCUUCAGUGACCAGAUAUAUUGAUGUUGACUCCCUGUACCUUCAGUGACCAGAUAUAUUGAUGUUGACUCC